rnacentral:rRNA from 1 species
UACGGGGGGGGCAAGCGUUGUUCGGAAUUACUGGGCGUAAAGGGCUCGUAGGGGGCCAACUAAGUCAGACGUGAAAUCCCUCGGCUUAACCGGGGAACUGCGUCUGAUACUGGAUGGCUUGAGAUUGGGAGAGGGAUGCGGAAUUCCAGGUGUAGCGGUGAAAUGCGUAGAUAUCUGGAGGAACACCGGUGGCGAAGGCGGCAUCCUGGACCAACACUGACGCUGAGGAGCGAAAGCCAGGGGAGCAAACGGG